rnacentral:misc_RNA from 1 species
GAUGAAUAACGUAGCGAAAUGCGAUAACUAAUGUGAAUUGCAGAAUUCAGUGAAUCAUCGAGUCUUUGAACGCACAUUGCGCCCCCUGGUAUUCCGGGGGGCAUGCCUGUCCGAGCGUCAUUGCUGCCCUCAAGCACGGCUUGUGUGUUGGGCUCCGUCCCCCCGGGGACGGGUCCGAAAGGCAGCGGCGGCACCGAGUCCGGUCCUCGAGCGUAUGGGGCUUUGUCACCCGCUCUGUAGGCCCGGCCGGCGCCAGCCGACAACCAAUCAUCCUUUUUUCAGGUUGACCUCGGAUCAGGUAGGGAUACCCGCUGAACUUAAGCAUAUCAAUAAGCGGAGGA